AGUUUCUUUCAAAACUAUCAGCCUUUAAUUUAAAGUUAGCAGCACUUACAUUUAUCUGUGUUUGAUCAGCCUUGGCAAGCCACCUUGAAACCGAAGUCCAAGUCUUUAAGACUCUCUCACUAAACCUACUCUAUAGAACAAGGAAUGGAAGAAAUGUUUUCCUUUGUAGAAAGGUGUUUUUUCGUCUAGUCACAAACGUGGGAAAAAGAUAUAAUGUCCGGGUCCCCAUGAGGAAUCGAACCCCAGACCUACAGAUUCCGCGGCCCGAUAUUCUAUCGCUGAGCUUAAGAGACUAUGGCGAGCAAGGUCCAUUACGAAGUUCGUAUAGGAUACGCCUCCUGCAAACUGUCCCACACUCGUGACUAGAAGAAAAAACUUCUCUCUAUAUUUCUUUACCGGGCUCAAAACUUACCAUCCUUAUUCUUUACAAAAAAAAAUGUUUUCUGUUUAUCUUUACAAAGCGCUUCUUCUAUCCCUGCUUCUAAAUUUUGACUAGUUCACGUUUUUACCAUGAGGAAUCUAUCUUACACUAUUUGCCAUAAACAGGGACGGAAAUGAAGGCUUCGUUUCAUCGAACUAGUUCUGGUCUGCGCUGUCUAUAAGAGUCCGAGGGAGGUCAUUUCUGAUGGUGCAUCGUCUAUGUCCCAGCUCCCUUUCCCAUUUUAUAUCUCAUCGGUAUUGAAAGAGAGAGACCACGCGUUUUGUCUAUCAUAAUUAUUUUUCAGCAACAAGUCAUCCCUAUCCCUGGAAGUGGGAGUUGCAUACUGGUAUUGUUCCCCAAGGAGAAGAUUAUUUUGAAUACUUACCAGUAGGCGCUGCCCUGUGGCCCUCCUUGCAAGGGCUGCAGGGGUUGAGAGAAUAUCUUACCUUAACCAUUGAGAACGUCUCUGGGUUUCACUUCAGCGAUUUGAAGGACGUCGACGUCGUUGAAGCGGAAGCAAAACGGGCUAAGGAACUGGCUGGGAAAGCUAUUAAACAACUUAAGUGCGAGCUGCAGGUCCUGCAUGGAGAUAAUGAGCCAAUCAGGAAAGUUUUGGAGGGAAAAUUGACGUUUGCUGUAAAAGAGACUGUGAAGAGUAUUGUCGAUGGAGCAGAACCAACUGUGGAAACCGUGAAAGAGUGGAUCAAUAUGGACAGACUUGCCUAUGGAUAUCCUGAACUGGAAAGAACAACGGAAAGGAGACACCAAUACGCAACUGCAGUUCUUAGUGCUUGUCAGCGCGCAGUGAACAUUCAGCAGUAAAGUAAAUUUAUGCGUUUGUUUUAUUUUGAAGUGUGCUAUUCUGAGAAAACAUAAUUCCAGACGUUCAAACUCCUUUCAAAUAAGUAAUUUGUAGUAUAGCGUUAAUUUCGUCAACAUUUGAACAGUCUAUGCUACUAGAAAAACAAAUUUUAAGUGAGAUAUUUCUUAGUGGGUGAACCCAAAUUGUCCCGAUUUUAGAAUCUGUGGUUAAUGAUUAGAACAUAUGAUAUAAACUAAGUAAAACAGACAGAACUGAACUGCCCACGAUGAACACAUGUAAAUAGAUUCUAAUACAAAUUACUAUUGAUUGGUUAAUAUUUUUAGAUAUCUUCUUAGGCGCUAGAUAGUGUUUGAGACCACCAAUGAUGUAACUGAAAUGAUCAAGGAGAAUCGUGUUUAGUGUAACUUCCUCUGUAUGUUGUGACAAACGAUUAUUUAAGAGUUUUUCAAUAAAAAAAGCGCACCCACUUUG